rnacentral:misc_RNA from 1 species
CAGACAUAACGAUUACAACACAAAAUGGAGAUGACUAAAGAAGGAAUGCGACUAGGGUCAACCAUUUUAGUACUAUAUACUCUCUCAACCAAAUACGCGUAACUUCAGAGUUCUGAUGUGAACAAGACUCUACAACUUGCGCAAAAUCAAUGGAGCACCAUGUUGAGGUUGGAGAGUGAUGAUUGUAUGAGGAGCAUGUGAAUAAGAUGGAGAUAACUCAAGAGCAUAGUGUUGUAAAAUCAUUGCUAGUGCCAUUUUUGCCUCCAACAUAGCAAAAUUUUG